rnacentral:rRNA from 1 species
GACGAACGCUGGCGGCGUGCUUAACACAUGCAAGUCGAACGGAAAGGCCCCUUUGGGGGUACUCGAGUGGCGAACGGGGGAGUAACACGUGAGUAACCUGCCCUUGACUUCGGGAUAACUUCAGGAAACUGGGGCUAAUACCGGAUAGGAAUCCUUGCUGCAUGGUGGGGGUUGGAAAGUUUCGGCGGUUUUGGAUGGACGCGCGGCGUAUCAGCUUGUUGGUGGGGUAGUGGCUUACCAAGGCUUUGACGGGUAGCCGGCCUGAGAGGGCGACCGGCCACAUUGGGACUGGGACACGGCCCAGACUCCUACGGGAGGCAGAGGUGGGGAAUAUUGCACAAUGGGCGGGAGCCUGAUGCAGCAACGCCGCGUGCGGGAUGACGGCCUUCGGGUUGUAGACCGCUUUCAGCAGGGGCGAAGCUUGUGGUGACGGUACCUGCAGAAGAAGCACCGGCUAACUCCGUG